CUCUCCCAUAGUCUUAAAAUAUAUUUCGAAAAUGUUAACGUAGAAAAUUUACCUCGCUAUCUUGAAUAUAAUUUUUGAAAAAUAUGCUUUCUCUUUUCUUAAACGGGAAAUUCAUAUCCUAAAUCUUUAGAUUCUCUCAUCCUCUUUUUCUUAUUCAUUUAUGCAUGUACGAGGUUUGUUUUUACCAAUGUCUAGUAAUCAAAAAGAAGCUUUCGUCUUUUGAGACGCAAAUUUAAAUUCAAAUUCAAAUUUCUUUUUUGGGAGUCAGCUGCCAAGUCUACUGAUUUAUACUGAAUGCAACUAGAACGCAGGAUUUCUCUAUCUCGGUAUGUCUUCAUCUAGGUCAUCAUCAAUUGUCAGCACACCCCUACAGAAUCAAGUAAAAGUAGCAGGUCUACUAGAUGUAACUAGAAUGCAGGGAUUCUCUUUCUCGGUACGUCUUCUAGGUCAUCAUCAAUUGUCAGCACAGCCUGUGGAAUCAGGUAAAAACAGAAUAUAAAGACAAGAAAGACCAGCAUGCAAUGCUUACCAGGAAUGAGAAAAAUAAGGCAGAAGCCGAAAGCAAGUGCCAAAUGUCGUGGUCAUCGUAGAAGCCAAGUAAUCGGCACUCUCUGUUACCUUCACGUG